UACGGAGGGGGCUAGCGUUGUUCGGAAUUACUGGGCGUAAAGCGCGCGUAGGCGGACCUGCAAGUCGGGGGUGAAAGCCCGAGGCUCAACCUCGGAACUGCCUUCGAUACUGCGGGUCUCGAGUCCGGGAGAGGUGAGUGGAAUUCCUAGUGUAGAGGUGAAAUUCGUAGAUAUUAGGAAGAACACCAGUGGCGAAGGCGGCUCUGGGCCCGGUAUGACUG
rnacentral:rRNA from 1 species